AGCCCUGUGGUGUUAUCACGUCAGAUUGCAAAUCUGAAGACGCACACUAAGGUGUACCUGGGCUU
rnacentral:tRNA from 1 species